rnacentral:rRNA from 1 species
UGCAUGGCCGUCGUCAGUUCGUACUGUGAAGCAUCCUGUUAAGUCAGGCAACGAGCGAGACCCACGCCAACAGUUGCCAGCAUGUCCUCCGGGAUGAUGGGGACACUGUUGGGACCGCCUCUGCUAAAGAGGAGGAAGGAAUGGGCAACGGUAGGUCAGCAUGCCCCGAAUUAUCCGGGCUACACGCGGGCUACAAUGGUCAGGACGAUGGGUAUCUACCCCGAAAGGGGACGGAAAUCUCCUAAAACCAAUCUUAGUUCGGAUUGAGGGCUGCAACUCGCCCUCAUGAAGCUGGAAUCCGUAGUAAUCGCGUUUCAACAGAACGCGGUGAAUACGUCCCUGCUCCUU